UACGUAGGGGGCAAGCGUUGUCCGGAAUCAUUGGGCGUAAAGAGCGUGUAGGCGGCUCGAUAAGUCUGCUGUGAAAGUCCAGGGCUCAACCCUGGAAGGCCGGUGGAAACUGUCGGGCUAGAGUUCGGAAGAGGCGAGUGGAAUUCCCGGUGUAGCGGUGAAAUGCGCAGAUAUCGGGAGGAACACCAAUGGCGAAGGCAGCUCGCUGGGACGUUACUGACGCUGAGACGCGAAAGCCAGGGGAGCAAACGGG
rnacentral:rRNA from 1 species